rnacentral:rRNA from 1 species
CCGGCGAACGGGUGCGUAACACGUGAGCAACCUACCGAAGUGUGGGGGAUAGCCGGUCUAACGGCCGAGUAAUACCGCAUACGAUUCCGAAGAGGCAUUUCUUUGGAAUGAAACCUACGGGGUACUUCGAGGGGCUCGCGGCCUAUCAGCUAGUUGGUGAGGUAACGGCUCACCAAGGCAACGACGGGUAGCUGGUCUGAGAGGAUGGCCAGCCACAUUGGGACUGAGAUACGGCCCAG